rfam:Trichuris suis C379799.1, whole genome shotgun sequence.
GGUUCCAUGGUGUAACGGUUAGCACUCUGGACUUUGAAUCCAGCAAUCCGAGU